AUUGAACGCUGGCGGCAGGCCUAACACAUGCAAGUCGAACGAGUGGCGGACGGGUGAGGAAUGUCUGGGAAACUGCCUGAUGGAGGGGGAUAACUACUGGAAACGGUAGCUAAUACCGCAUACCAUCAGAUGUGCCCAGAUGGGGGUAGCUAGUUGGUGGGGUAACGGCGCACCAAGGCGACGAUCCCUAGCUGGUCUGAGAGGAUGACCAGCCACACUGUAACUGAGCCACGGUCCAGUCUCCUACGUGAGGCAGCAGUGGGUAUGAUUCCACAAUGGGCGCAAGCCUGAGGCAUCCAUGCCGCUUGUAUGAAGAAGGCCUUCGGUUUUUAAAGUACUUUCAGCUGGGAGGCUUUACCCGCAGAAGAAGCACCGGCUCACUCCGUGCCAGCAGCCGCGGUAAUUC
rnacentral:rRNA from 1 species